GACGAACGCUGGCGGCAUGCCUAACACAUGCAAGUCGAACGGGAUCCUAGCUUGCUAGGUGAGAGUGGCGGACGGGUGAGUAACACGUGGGAAUCUGCCUUUUGGUUCGGGAUAACCGCGGGAAACUGCGGCUAAUACCGAAUGCCCUCGUGAGAGGAAAGAUUUAUCGCCAGAAGAGGAGCCCGCGUCCGAUUAGGUAGUUGGUGGGGUAAAGGCCUACCAAGCCGACGAUCGGUAGCUGGUCUGAGAGGAUGAUCAGCCACACUGGGACUGAGAUACGGCCCAGACUCCUACGGGAGGCAGCAGUGGGGAAUAUUGGACAAUGGGGGCAACCCUGAUCCAGCAAUGCCGCGUGAGUGAUGAAGGCCUUAGGGUUGUAAAGCUCUUUUGCCAGGGAAGAUGAUGACUGUACCUGGAGAAUAAGCCCCGGCUAACUUCGUGCCAGCAGCCGCAAU
rnacentral:rRNA from 1 species